ACAGGUACAUUUGUGGGUGUAAGGUAAUGUGGUAAAGACCACUUUACCAGUAGAUUUGAAACUGAUGUUUUAUUUUUUAAUUUUUAAUUUAUGAACUUUUUACCUUUUUAUUGAUUGUUUUGCUUGACUGGAACAAAAUAUGAGUUUUCUCUUAAUACCUAAAAAAGCUAACAGGUGUAUACUGACCUUACACUGUUUUUUCUUUGUGGAUAUUUUUUCCUUCCUGAUGAUCAGAAGAGUGCUUGAUGGCUUCAGAGACGCCUGCAGAACAACAGUGAUGUCUUUCAGCCUUUAGAACAAUGUUCUUGACCAGAAGAUUAUCACAGCUGAGUCUGGACAGGACGUCACUCUGUCAUGUCGAGCUGCAAACAAUAACAAACCCAUCAUAGUGGUGAAGUGGAGCAGACGUGACCCGAAUGGACAGUAUGUCUUGAUGUACCGGGAUCAGCAAUUUGUCCCAGAUGAGCAGCAUCCAUCUUUUAAGAACCGGGUGGAUCUGCAGGACAGACAGAUGAAGGAUGGAGACGUGUCUUUGAUUCUGGAGAAUGUGACGACUAAUGAUACUGGAACAUACGAGUGUCAAGUUGCCCAGAGAGAACAAAACAAGAGACCCAGUUUGAAACCCAUCAGCAUCAUCUACCUGAGUGUUGUUGAUCCUCCAGGUCAGACAGGAAGACACACAGGGGAUGGACCUGUUGGACUGAUAGUUGCUCUGAGUGUUUCUGCUGUGCUUCUUGUUGCUGUUGUUGGUUUUUUGAUCUACAGAAAACAUAAAAAGACACAGAGUCAUGUCUCACACAGGCCUGCUGUUGAUCAGCAGCUGUUUGAAACAUCAGACUGAUCUAGUGAUGUUUUCUGUGUUGUUGGAGAAAUAGAAACAAAGAAACAAUAGGCAAAAAUGUAUGAUGCUAAACAUCAAUCAAACAUGUUCACAAUUAACAUUACAACUGUAAAAUAAGAAUAACCAGAGACAAACAGCAGCAGACAUAUUUACUUCACCAUUCAUUCCCCUACCAGCCCUAACCUUAGUCUUGGCUAAUAUCCUGUAAUCAGUAUUGGGACACUCAAAAAAGUAAUAUACUGCACAUUAGUCAUCAUCUUUCCUUGAUUUCAUACCGAAGAAAGUAAUUUGUUACAUCUGUUUUGCAUUACUCUGCAAAAUGACCUGGAACUCAUUGUCUAAAAGUGAUCAGUUAAAAAUAUAAACCUGAGGAUAAAAUGAGGAUAAGAUGAAAUCAGCUGAGUGUAGCACAGGUUCUCAUAACAAAAAUAACAUAUGAAUUUUUUUGUUCUCUUCUGUCUGUCCAACAUGUGUGCAGAUUAAUAACCCCUUGUAGUCACAACAAAUAAUGUAAUUAGUGAAUUUAGUACGGUCACAUGUUGCAUUACUGAUUUACAGAAAAAUGCACUGUGAAGCUAAAACAAACAUUUCAAUCCAUUGCAAAUGACCACAGCAGAUCUUUUCAAGCUCUGCAAUCAAUCUACACACUGCAAACAAAUUGAGUCAUGAUAUUACUAAAGGCUUUUACACAUAGAGUGAAUUGUGAACAAGAAAACGUGAAAAUGAACUGAUGUCCACAUCAAGCACGAUGAGCUGGUCUUGAUGUUUCAAAGCAAUAAGUGGAAGAAACUUAAGAGUUUUGAAAACACUAACUACAACUAAAACAGUAACACAAAAAUCAUGCACAUGUGAACACGCUGAAAUAUCCAAAGACACAUGUUAAAUAAAGCACCUUUUGGACCCACCUUUAAAAGAACAAACAGUCAAAACCCAUCACAACAAAUCAAACCCACUCCCACCAGAGUGAGACCAUCACCUCCUGAAGUUUCCACAGAAUAACAAAACCUGUUUGCCAAGAACACAGCAGAGAGCAGAAAUCUGCACCACUUACAUCACAUUUCUGUGAUUAUCAUCAAACCUGUUCAGACUGUGUUAGUGUUUCUCUGUUCUGUGAACUACAGUGUUUGUUCGUCUUCAGUAUUUUCAUGGAUCUGUUUUAUAUAAUCUCAGUAAUUUUGCUUCUGUGUACUGUAUGUAAAAAGUAAUACUAAUUAUAAAACAGCAGCUGUUUGUAAGAUCAAACAUGUUGUGUGAGGUUUGGACGGCACAAACUGAUCCUCAUGUAGAGAUCAGACGUUACAGUAUAACUACAGACACUCACUGAACCAACAGUAUAAACACCGUAGAAGAGGCCUUUUAGAUUAUAGAUAUUCAAUCAUCUGUUUAAUAGUGUUCGAUUCAUUGAUGGUAUAACACUAAAUGACAUCUAGCUCAUCAUACAGUGUUAUUACAGUGUUAUAAACGCAAAGAGCUAUAUAAGUUUCAUAUACCAGCAGAGUCUGGUAUUUCUAAUUGAUGAUGAUUUAACUUUUCCUUCCAUGAACUAAACUCUGCAGUUUGUUAUUUCAUUUCAAGAGCUGUUCACAUAUUAUGUAUCUUUUUUUUAUCUUUUAUAUUAGAUUUUUCUAUUAAUGACUAAGGCUUAAUAUUGUAUCUGUUACUAUUUCUAUUCUAUUCUGUCAGUCUUUAUUAAUAUGUUUGUUUUCCAACGGUUUACGUAAUAUGUCAUUUCACUUGCUAUCAAAACUAUUAUCACUUAUCCAUGUAUUAUAUCCAUGUACUGUAGUUGCUGGGUCGGCCACCUCUCAGAGACGGUGGAUAAAUUCCGUUCUCAGUGUUGAAACAUUUCCAGGUCAUGACAGAUUCAACGCCAUGAGCAGAGUUAUUAUGACAGCACUGCCUACAGUGAUUUUGUAUAAAUAUCUAUAUAAUUACAACAUUAAAUAUACUGCAUUAGCACUAUUGCCGUAUUUAGACUGUUAUAAAAACAUUUAAAAGCUUAUAUGUUGUGUUAAUGUGCUUGCUGCUAUUUGUUGUGUGCUGUGUUUGAGAUCCUUUUUCUAAAGCUUUCUGCCCAACCAGCAUGUAUUGUUUUCAUCCAGACAAUAAACUGCAGCACUAAAA